rnacentral:misc_RNA from 1 species
CAAGAAGAGACCCUAACCGGUCCUCUCAACCCUGCCCAUCGUACCUUUUUUGUUGUUCCCUCGGCGGUGCUCGCGGGCCCGCCGGCGGGAAGACCAAACAAACCCUUUGCAAACAAGCUAUAUCGAAUCUCUGAUCAAACAUGAAUUGUCA